CUACGGGGCGCUCCAGUGGGGAAUCUUAGACAAUGGGCGCAAGCCUGAUCUAGCCAUGCCGCGUGAGUGAUGAAGGCCUUAGGGUCGUAAAGCUCUUUCGCUGGGGAAGAUAAUGACGGUACCCAGUAAAGAAACCCCGGCUAACUCCGUGCCAGCAGCCGCGGUAAUACGGAGGGGGUUAGCGUUGUUCGGAAUUACUGGGCGUAAAGCGCGCGUAGGCGGACUGUUAAGUCGGGGGUGAAAUCCCGGGGCCCAACACCGGAACGGCCUUCGAAACUGGCAGUCUGGAGUUCGAGAGAGGUGAGUGGAAUUCCGAGUGUAGAGGUGAAAUUCGUAGAUAUUCGGAGGAACACCAGUGGCGAAGGCGGCUCACUGGCUCGAUACUGACGCUGAGGUGCGAAAGUGUGGGGAGCAAACAGGAUUAGAUACCCCGGUAGUC
rnacentral:rRNA from 1 species